GCCUCGGUGGCUUAGGGGUAUAGUGCGUCCUUGGUAAGGACGAGGUCGUGGGUUCAAAUCCCACCCGAGGCUCCA
rnacentral:tRNA from 1 species